UCUAUGAGAAGUUUCGGGAGCAACUCACAGGGUCAUUGGAAGGGCAAGAUCAGAGGCAGGCUGAUAGCCCUGUGUCUUCUCUAACUAACACACAACUCAGAAAGCAUCGGUGAGAACAGGGUAGUUUCAGAGGAGACCAUCAGCAGAGAUAAAAGCAGAGUCAAAGCCCUUGUACCCAGUGCAAUGCCAAGAGCAUCAUAUGUGUUUGAGAAUGUUUACAGGCUAAUUGGAUGAAUACAUGAAUGAACUGAAUUUACUUAUGACAAUGAGGUAGCAUUUCUAAAGCUCUUUGUAAGGACAAACACAAUGACGUUUAUCUUCAAAGUUGAACACCGGGAUCGACCACAUCCUAAAUCAUCACUCUCUUAUUUACCUCAUUUACAAUCUAUUUUUCUCUUGGU